rnacentral:lncRNA from 1 species
UGAAGUUUGGUCAAAGCUUCCAAAGGAAGCUUUGACUCUGAUUUUUUCAGCCCAAAAUCGUUCUUAUCUCCUCCAACAAGAUUUUUUCCUCUUCUCCUCCAUGCUCCACACCAUUCUUGAAGCUUUCAUGCCAUUUUCUCUUUAUCCACCAUGAAACCAAGUUUUCUUCAUUUUCCUUUCCAUGUUUUCUUUUCCUUUCUUCUCCAAACUUCUUGAGCACUAAAUUUACAGCCUUUAACCCCAAUUUCCAGCACAUCUAAACCCUAGGAGGAGAAGAAAGAAAAAGAGAGAAAGGAAGAAAAAAAAAAGCUUGUUUUGGUGAUUCAAG